CCUGACGUCAUUGUGCUGCACUUUGAGAGGGGAGGAGAAGGCGGGACAUGACACCGGACAUAGCUCUUCACUGGUGCUAUUUAUAGGAUGCCGCCAUCAAUACUACGGAAGCAGACAGUAGAUAAGGGGGAUGAAAGCAGCCAUCAGAAAUCAGGAAGACGGGUGCACUUUAGAGAACCAGAGGCAUCCUAUAUGCAUGGUUGCCAUGACGCCGGGUGGUCACCUGAGCGCGCCGGAGGGCGCGCGUCGCAUGUGUGACGUCAUUGACUCGGGAGACGGCGCGGCGCUGGCGGCUUCCUGACGGGGGGAUACGAUGUUAUCAAGCCGGCAUUGUUCCAGCACUAUAUUGUCCUUCCUGAUAAUUGGCAUUUGUAUUUUAAUGAUCAUGGCGGUGAUUUUAUAUUGUCAUCAUGUGCAGCUGGGUUUGACUUCAUUGAAAUCAAGCUUUGUAAUCUUCAUUCUCCGUCUGAAAAACAAUGUAGCAAUCUGUUGGAACUUGUUGAAGAGAACCCCAUAAAACAUGACAUAGUCAACAAUUUAAAAGAAAAAAUAAAACUUCUGUUUAGCUGUAAAUUCUUUCAUAGUUGAAACAACUGGAAGCAGCGAUCAUUGCUAAAAAUUGGUUAUGAAGAUUUU